rnacentral:lncRNA from 1 species
AUGAGUGAAAACUUCACUGUACCAUACCCGCCGGUGGGUUUUUACUUUAUUUUUAUACUUCUUUUCUAUGUAUCUAUCAUAUUUUUUCAUGACCUUUUCAGAUGCUCAUGGAUAAAAAACACAUUCUUCUCAGAGCUUCACAAAUAUAGUAUGUCAACAAGUAAGCUUAUCAUGAGUCAUGCAGUUCUAACUCUCAUAUCUCACAUUAAAAGUCUCUUUUACGAUACACACUUUACCACUCGCACUUCUCCUUUCACUCGAAUACAGUCAUUCUUCUGGCAAGAUAUUAACCUAGUCAAUCACUACUAUGAUCGUUUUCAAUUACAAGAGUGUAGCAUUACAGUUAGAAACGUAAGAUCUUCCGAGUCAUAAAAUGAGCUCAGUUUAAGUGAGGCUCCUUAAAUGUUAACUGUAGGUAAAGAAAAUGGGAAAGAAAAAUUUAGCUGCCCAUUGCACCUACGAUCUCGAACAGCAAAAUAACAGACGCUAAUCAAACCUUUCACACUGUCAAGAAAGAAAGCAAUUCCCUCUGUGCGCAUCUGAAAGCUUUUGUUUUUUAUGUGUUUGUAAAUGUAAGAAAAUUAUGGUGUAAAUACUUAAUAUUUUUUAGACUUUGAUCUCGAUUUUUGUGGUAAGUUGAAGUACCGAUGAAUAAACUUGUUAUUAUCUCAAUCGAUUCUUCUUAUUUCAAAGAUUCGUAUACCUACAGACGACGCGGCGCACGGUGGAUCGAGUCCAUAGGAGAGGUCGGACAAAAUUUGGAAACUUUAAACGCUUAUAAUUCCGUUUAUACAAAACUUUGAGGUUCUGAACGUGUUUCUAUUGGUUUCCUCGUAACAUUUUCUUCCAGAUGCACCCCUAAAAAUUUGAAAUGGGACAAAAUAAACAUCAAAAUUUGCAGUUUUAGUCAAAAAUUUCAUGUCCGACCUCUCAAAUUGACUCGAUCCACUGUGCGGCGUUGCCCUCUUUUAUUAUGGAUUUCUAGAAAAGUAGGGAUUUUCAAUUUAUUCCAUUCUAGUAAUAUACCUCUAGUGAGGGUACAAAU